CCUACGGGUGGCAGCAGUGGGGAAUAUUGCACAAUGGGGGAAACCCUGAUGCAGCGACGCCGCGUGAGUGAAGAAGUAAUUCGUUACGUAAAGCUCUAUCAGCAGGGAAGAAAUACUGACCUUACGGUCAGCAGACGGUACCUGAGUAAGAAGCCCCGGCUAAAUACGGGCCAGCAGCCGCGGUAAUACGUAGGGGGCAAGAGUUAUCCGGAUUUACUGGGUGUAAAGGGAGGUGAGACGGUGCGCCAAGUCUGGAGGUAAAUGCCGCAGCUUAACUGCGGAACGGCUUUUGAAACUGGCGAACUAGAGUGCGGGAGGAGUAAGCGGAAUGCCUAGUGUAGCGGUGAAAUGCGUAGAUAUUAGGAGGAACACCGGUGGCGAAGGCGGCUUACUGGACCGUAACUGACGUUGAGGCUCGAAAGCGUGGGGAGCAAACAGGAUUAGAUACCCCGGUAGUC
rnacentral:rRNA from 1 species